rnacentral:rRNA from 1 species
CCUACGGGAGGCAGCAGUGGGGAAUAUUGGGCAAUGGAGGAAACUCUGACCCAGCAACGCCGCGUGAAUGAUGAAUGUCUUCGGAUUGUAAAGUUCUUUUCUAAGGGAAGAAGAAAGUUACGGUACCUUAGGAAUAAGCCUCGGCUAACUACGUGCCAGCAGCCGCGGUAAUACGGAGGAGGCAAGCGUUAUCCGGAUUGACUGGGCGUAAAGGGUUCGUAGGUGGUUUGACAAGUUGGGAGCGAAACUCCGGGGCUCAACCUCGUCACUACGACCACAACUGGCGGACGUGAGUGCAGGGAGGGCAGAUGGAAUUCGUAGUGUAGCGGUGAAAUGCGUAGAUAUUAGGAAGAACACCAGUGGCGAAGGCGGUUUGCUGGACUGUAACUGACACUGAGGCACGAAAGCGUGGGGAGCAAACAGGAUUAGAUACCCUAGUAGUC